rnacentral:rRNA from 1 species
AUAGCUUAUUGCACCAACAAAUAGUUGAUGUAAUAUUGACUCUGUCACAUAAAAUUCUAGGUAGAAUAAUGAUAAUGACAUUGUCUGCCUAUAUGUCUUGACCAAAUUACGUGCCAGCUGUCGCGGUAAUACGUAGAAGACUAGUGUUAUUCAUCUUUAAUAGGUUUAAAGGGUACCUAGACGGUAGAUCAAGCCUUCACAGGGACUAAUUUACUAGAGUUACUUACGAGGGGGUAUUAAAGUACUGCAGGUGUAGGGAUGAAAUUCUGUCACCUCUUUUCGAAAGAAAAAUUAUGGCACAGGUAUAGGUGAAAGCAUCCCCUUAUGUGAUAACUGACGUUGA